rnacentral:rRNA from 1 species
UACGUAGGGGGCUAGCGUUGUCCGGAAUCAUUGGGCGUAAAGCGCACGUAGGCGGCUUUGUAAGUUAGAGGUGAAAGCCCGGGGCUCAACUCCGGAAUUGCCUUUAAGACUGCAUCGCUAGAAUUGUGGAGAGGUAAGUGGAAUUCCGAGUGUAGAGGUGAAAUUCGUAGAUAUUAGGAAGAACACCAGUGGCGAAGGCGGCUCACUGGUCCGGUACUGACGCUGAGGUGCGAAAGCGUGGGGAGCAAACAGG